AGGUGGCAAGCGUUGUCCGGAUUUAUUGGGCGUAAAGCGAGCGCAGGCGGUUCUUUAAGUCUGAUGUGAAAGCCCCCGGCUCAACCGGGGAGGGUCAUUGGAAACUGGAGGACUUGAGUGCAGAAGAGGAGAGUGGAAUUCCAUGUGUAGCGGUGAAAUGCGUAAAUAUAUGGAGGAACACCAGUGGCGAAGGCGGCUCUCUGGUCUGUAACUGACGCUGAGGCUCGAAAGCGUGGGGAGCAA
rnacentral:rRNA from 1 species